GGAGGUAAGAGGGUACUACAGGGGUAGGAGUGAAAUCUUGUAAUCCCUGUGGGACCACCUGUGGCGAAGGCGUCUUACCAGAACGGGUUCGGCGGUGAGGGACGAAAGCUGGGGGCACGAACCGGAUUAGAUACCCGGGUAGUCCCAGCCGUAACGAUGCUCGCUAGGUGUCAGGCAUGGCGCGACCGUGUCUGGUGCCGCAGGGAAGCCGUGAAGCGAGCCACCUGGGAAGUACGGCCGCAAGGCUGAAACUUAAAGGAAUUGGCGGGGGAGCACAACAACGGGUGGAGCCUGCGGUUUAAUUGGACUCAACGCCGGACAACUCACCGGGGGCGACAGCAAUAUGUAGGCCAAGCUGAAGACUUUGCCUGAAUCGCUGAGGGGUGGUGCAUGG
rnacentral:rRNA from 1 species